GACAGAGGGUGCAAACGUUGCUCGGAAUUACUGGGCGUAAAGCGCGUGUAGGUGGCCACGCAAGUCAGGUGUGAAAGCCCAGGGCUCAACCCUGGAAGUGCACAUGAUACUACGUGGCUGGAGUACUGAAGAGGAGAGCGGAAUUCCCGGUGUAGAGGUGAAAUUCGUAGAUAUCGGGAGGAACACCAGUGGCGAAGGCGGCUCUCUGGGCAGAUACUGACACUGAGACGCGAAAGCGUGGGGAGCAAACAGG
rnacentral:rRNA from 1 species